GGUGUAAGAUGGCACAGUGAUGCCAUCUGUUGGUAAAUGUUAAUUACUGCAACUCCAGUGUUUUUACCGGUGUGCUUGAAAUACCCGGAUGUAUUGCAAUAUACUGAACAAGACUGGUUACUCGCAUCAAUGCCUCUGUCUCGUCAUUUAACAUUCAAACAAGUUGCUCAGGAGCUGCUACGAACAGCGGCCUGCAGUUCAGAGAUGACCAGCUAGUCUGCGGUUCGACCGGGGAGUUGGUCCAGAGGCUUCGCGGUCAGGUGGAGGUGAGGACGGAAUUCGUAAGUGAGGAAGAGGAGGGUGCUCUCAUGAAAGAAAUCGAGCCUGGGCUGAGGAAGAAACGAUACGAGUUCGACCACUGGGACGAUGGACCAGGCCAGAUAUAAGUUCACCCAUGAGAUCCUUAAAGAUGCUGAGUCUAUUUUCUCUGGACAGAGAGUGCCUCGCCAUCGCCGCAUCUCUGUCAUCUGCCGGAACCUUCCUUUUUGAAGCAUGAGAGCCAAGAGGGACACAACUGUGACAGUCUCACUGGAAAUAGCCAGAGCUCGGUAUUUUAAAUGUGAAGAAUGUCACUGUGUUAAAAUUUGAUCUACACGCUUUCUCACUGUGCGAGAGACUAUGUUGGGAAAGAUGAUUUAGAUGUUUACCGUAUCCGUUUUCAUUGGAGCACUUCAUAAUAAACUACCUGUACAGUAUUUGAUUCUGAAUUAAAUGUUGGGAAGGCAUUCAGGUAUGAUGCAUUUCAAAGAGUUAUAAUGCAUUACAAGACUUGUCAUAAGUAUCUAUGAACUUCUUAUGCUAAUUAAUGUUAUAUUAUGAAUCUGAGUUAUUAGCCUUUUAAAAAAUGCCACGUAGAAAGGCAAGUUGAUAAUUUGUAGGAGAACCAGUUGAAGGAGAACAUGCACUUUCUGGUGAGCUUCACUACCCAACUAUCCAAGAUCUGUAUUAGGUAAUUACCAAUUGUGUUGAAUUCUUAGAGGUAAAUGGAUACUUCAAAUAGUUAUAGCCCUAUAUUCAACACCGCUCAUGGGCAUUCUAGAAGGCUACAAUGCGGAGCCUGGAAAUAACUGGUGCCAUUUUUUAGAAUACUUGUUAACGACAAAUCCUGUUACUGAAGGCGUAUCUAUAAUCUGUAACUCUUUGUCCGUCCAUCUGAAUUGUUUAAUGUGUGGAUAUCUGUAUAGAAACCGUCUGAGCCUAACUCUUCUCCAAACCGGCACCUAUAACCAGAGGAGUCAUGCCCAUAGGGGGCACAAGGGCACGUGCCCCCUCAGAUUUGUCCUGUUAAAAAAAGAAUAAGAAUAAUUAAAUGAAUGACUAAACUUAAUUUUAAGCCCACAUUUUGUCAUUGUUUAUAAAAAAAAGAUCUGUCAGUGGUAUUUAGUAUUUGAUUAGGAUCUCCAUUAGCUACUGCUAAAGCAGAAACUACUCUUACUGGGGUCCACAAAAACAUGAUGUAAUACAUCACAAGGAUAGAACUACAAUACAUACAUUUAAAAUAAUACACGCUUUCAUACAUUUAUGCCUUCAUAAUCAUGUGAUUCAUACUGAAUGCAAGUGUAAUACACGAAAAUGGAAAUUAAAUAACAAGGAGGUUCCCCUGACGUGAAUAUAUCAACCUUGUUUUGCUAAAUUCCCCUGAUGUGAAUAAAGCUACUUUGUUUCUACAGUUA